UAUUAGAAAGAAUACCAAUUGCGAAGGCAGCUUUCUGGAUCAUUACUGACACUGAGGAACGAAAGCAUGGGUAGCGAAGAGGAUUAGAUACCCUCGUAGUCCAUGCCGUAAACGAUGUGUGUUAGACGUUGGAAAUUUAUUUUCAGUGUCGCAGCGAAAGCGAUAAACACACCGCCUGGGGAGUACGACCGCAAGGUUAAAACUCAAAUGAAUUGACGGGGACCCGCACAAGUAGUGGAGCAUGUGGUUUAAUUCGAAGAUACGCGCAGAACCUUACCAACACUUGACAUGUUCGUCGCGACUUUAAGAGAUUAAAGUUUUCGGUUCGGCCGGACGAAACACAGGUGCUGCAUGGCUGUCGUCAGCUCGUGUCGUGAGAUGUUGGGUUAAGUCCCGCAACGAGCGUAACCCUCACUUUUAGUUGCCAUCAUUAAGUUGGGCACUCUGAAAGAACUGCCAGUGAUAAGCUGGAGGAAGGUGGGGAUGACGUCAAGUCCUCAUGGCCCUUACGUGUUGGGCUACACACGUGCUACAAUGGUAUCUACAACAGGAAGCAAGACGGCGACGUUUAGCAAAUCCUUAAAAGAUACCUCAGUUCGGAUUGCACUCUGCAACUCGAGUGCAUGAAGCUGGAAUUACUAGUAAUCGUGGAUCAGCGUGCCACGGUGAAUGCGUUCCCGGGCCUUGUACACUCCGCCCA
rnacentral:rRNA from 1 species